rnacentral:rRNA from 1 species
UAAGUAGGGCGUGAAAGCGUGUGGCUCAACCAUAUACACAUGUCCUAAACUGCUAAGCUAGAAUCUGGAAGAGGUGGCUAGAAUUCCUUGUGUAGGAGUGAAAUCCGUAGAUAUAAGGAGGAAUACCGAUGGCGUAGGCAGGCCACUGGUCCAGUAUUGACGCUAAGGCACGAAAGCGUGGGGAGCAAACGGGAUUAGAUACCCCGGUAGUCCACGCCGUAAACUAUGGAUGCUA